rnacentral:lncRNA from 1 species
GCGCGCUAGGGUUGAAUGGAAGAUGGAGCAGGAGACGGCGGCGCGGCUAGGGUGUAACGGAAGAUGGAGCAUAAGACGGCGGCGCGGCUAGGGUUGAAUGGAAGAUGGAUCAGGAGACGGCGGCUAGGGUUGAAGGAAUGAAUGGUGGUGGCUGAAUGAAUGGUGGCGGCGGAAUGAACCAGGUGAAGAAAGAGAAAUUUUCCAACAAAAUGAAUUGAAAUGAGAGAGGGUAGUAGGCUACGGCACAAAUUUUAAUUAGUUUUUUCAUCUUUGAUUUUUCUUUUUUGACAUGGAAUUGAUUUAAUUUUUUUAUUAUUAUUUGUGGUGCCACAUAAGGGUGGUAUAAGGUGUAGUGCCACCUAUGGUGGUACACCUAUCACUGCUCUUCUGUAUUUGUCGUCUUCACAUCACAUGAUGCAAACUUUCAGAUAAAUAAAAUAUUAAUAUUUUUUUAGACGAAUAUAAUACUAAUAUUAAUUGAUAUACUCCCCAAUGAUUUCUACAGAUAAAUAGUAAAAAUCAAUUUUGUUGCGGAAUCCUGAAUU